GGGGGCGUAGUUGAGUUGGUUACAACAUCGCCCUGUCACGGCGAAGGUCGACGGUUCGAGCCCGUUCGCUCCCGCCA
rnacentral:tRNA from 4 species